UCUAUGGAGAGUUUGAUCCUGGCUCAGAACGAACGCUGGCGGCGUGCCUAACACAUGCAAGUCGAACGGUAACAGGGACUUCGGUCCGCUGACGAGUGGCGCACGGGUGAGUAACGCGUGGGGUUACCUGCCCAUCAGUGAGGAACAACUUGGAGAAAUCCAAGCUAAUACCGCAUACGACCUUCGGGUGAAAGAGGGGGAUUCUUCGGAACCUCUCGCUGAU
rnacentral:rRNA from 1 species